UCACAAACGGAAAAGGGACGUGAUCCUCGAGAUGGCCUCCACGCCACAUUCCUCCAUCUCCGCCGUCGUCGCCACCACCGCCGCAAAUCUCAAACUCUCUUUGCUUCGUAAUCAAUUCUGCCCUCGGAGACAUGAUUUCCGUCCUAGAUUAGAUCGAAUUUGGAAUACUUCUGUUGAUGUUCACAACCAACGACGCCUUCUUCUUCUUCUUCCACCACGUAACGUUCGUUCUACUGCUUUCGCCGUGAAUGUUUCAGGUCCUCUGCUUCAGGACGCCGGAGCAACCGUCCUCGUCGUUGCCGGUGCCUAUGCACUCGUCGCUGGUUUUGAUAAUCUGACACAGCGGCAAAUCAUCGAACAGAAUCUAAGCAGAAAACUGGUUCAUAUAUUAUCUGGAUUGCUUUAUAUGGGUUGCUGGCCAAUUUUCAGUACAUCUACAGAAGCUCGCUAUUUUGCUGCUGUAGUUCCCUUAUUAAACUUCACAAGGCUUCUUGUGCACGGUCUUUCACUGGUAACCAACGAAGACCUCAUCAAGUCAGUCACACGAGAAGGAAAACCAGAGGAAUUGCUUAGAGGGCCUCUAUAUUAUGUUUUGGUGUUGAUUCUAUCUUCUCUUGUCUUCUGGCGCGAGUCGCCAGUCGGUGUGAUCUCGCUGUCGAUGAUGUGUGGUGGCGAUGGUAUUGCAGAUAUCAUGGGUAGAAGAUUUGGGUUCCAUAAAAUUCCUUACAACAAACACAAGAGUUGGGCCGGUAGCAUCUCUAUGUUUAUAGUUGGUUUCUUAAUCUCAAUCGGCCAAAAAUAAUGUGAUGGACAUCCAUCCGGCUUCUGAGGACUCUUUAGCUAAAUGACCUUCUCAAAAGCUGAAUUUAAUAAUUUAACCCUUUUGUGGGAGUAGAAGGGGCAGGCUGUUUUGAACAAGAGAUAGAUGAGGUGAAAGGUCAUUGAGCUAAAAAAUUAGGAUGCUGUACUACUUUUCAAUCUUUGGGUACUUUGAGCUAGACUGGGUGAGGACAGUUGAACGAGUGGC